UGUUCUCCCUCAGCUGAGAAACCUUGGCAAGGUGCAGCAUAGCCAAGUAAAACUCAACGAUACAGUGUACCUCAGACUACAUCGAGUCGCUGUCAGUCGAUACGAGGAAACAGACGGUUGUUGUAUUUUAUGAACGUUUAAUGAAAAGUAUGGAUUACAGCAAACAAAUUAAGGCACACCGCUACGGAGUACCAACAUAUGUACACGGUUUGAUCCUCCAUACAUCAGGACCACAACCAUGGAUUCCAUUCCGAUGACCACACUGAUUAAUCUGCAAUAAUAACUUUCAAAUAGCCCAGGAUAAGAGUACCCAGAAAUGCAAUGCAUCUAUUUUCACCAGUAGAUGGAGGAGAAGAUCUAGGUCAGUGAUCAUAUCUCCCAAACAAGCUUGGCCAAAAGUGUUAAGAAGACAGACAAAUAAUGAACAAGAUUUUGCAGGUGGCAGAGACAUGGG